GAUUGCAGGCUGCAACCCGCCUGUAUGAAGUUGGAAUCGCUAGUAAUCGCGAAUCAGCAUGCCGCGGUGAAUACGUUCCCGGGCCCUUGUACACACCGCCCGUCACACCAUGGGAGUCGGUAACACCCGAAGCCUGUAGUCUAACCGCAAGGAGGACGCAGUCGAAGGUGGGAUUGAUGACUGGGGUGAAGUCGUAACAAGGUAAC
rnacentral:rRNA from 1 species